AGGAGCCGGAUGAUGCGAAAGUAUCACGUCCGGUUCUGAAGGAGAGGUAGGAGUGGCAACGCUCCUAUCGACUCUAAC
rnacentral:ncRNA from 2 species